AUUCCAAGCUUGAGUUUGAUCCUGGCUCAGGAUGAACGCUGGCGGCGUGCCUAAUACAUGCAAGUCGAGCGGGGUUCUUCGGAACCUAGCGGCGGACGGGUGAGUAACACGUGGGUAACCUGCCUGUAAGACCGGGAUAACUUCGGGAAACCGAAGCUAAUACCGGAUAGUUUCGAGCAUCGCAUGAUGCUUGAUGGAAAGACGGUUUCGGCUGUCACUUACAGAUGGACCCGCGUCGCAUUAGCUAGUUGGUGAGGUAAUGGCUCACCAAGGCGACGAUGCGUAGCCGACCUGAGAGGGUGAUCGGCCACACUGGGACUGAGACACGGCCCAGACUCCUACGGGAGGCAGCAGUAGGGAAUCUUCGGCAAUGGGCGAAAGCCUGACCGAGCAACGCCGCGUGAGCGAUGAAGGCCUUCGGGUCGUAAAGCUCUGUUGUUAAGGAAGAACAAGUACGAGAGUAACUGCUCGUACCUUGACGGUACUUAACGAGAAAGCCACGGCUAACUACGUGCCAGCAGCCGCGGUAAUACGUAGGUGGCGAGCGUUAUCCGGAAUUAUUGGGCGUAAAGCGCGCGUAGGCGGUUUCUUAAGUCUGAUGUGAAAGCCCACGGCUCAACCGUGGAGGGUCAUUGGAAACUGGGAAACUUGAGUGCAGAAGAGGAAAGCGGAAUUCCACGUGUAGCGGUGAAAUGCGUAGAGAUGUGGAGGAACACCAGUGGCGAAGGCGGCUUUCUGGUCUGUAACUACGCUAGCGC
rnacentral:rRNA from 1 species